ACGCAUACCUUGCAGGAGAAAUACUGUACCAUGGUCAUGAAAGUGUUUUUUCCAGGGUAAGGCUCAUCCAUUGCACUUUGGGUGUGCUGAUCCGUAUGAUUUCCCCAAAUGUGGGGCACUCAAUUGCAUAAUUUGUGUUAAUGGGGGGGGGGAGACUGCAUUUGUGAUUUCCCUGG
rnacentral:snRNA from 1 species